GACGAACGCUGGCGGCGCGCCUAACACAUGCAAGUCGAACGGAGUCAAGAGGAGCUUGCUUUUCUUGACUUAGUGGCGAACGGGUGAGUAACGCGUGAGUAACCUGCCCUGGAGUGGGGGACAACAGUUGGAAACGACUGCUAAUACCGCAUAAGCCCACGGAUCCGCAUGGAUCUGCGGGAAAAGGAUUUAUUCGCUUCAGGAUGGACUCGCGUCCAAUUAGCUAGUUGGUGAGGUAACGGCCCACCAAGGCGACGAUUGGUAGCCGGACUGAGAGGUUGAACGGCCACAUUGGGACUGAGACACGGCCCAGACUCCUACGGGAAGCAGCAGUGGGGGAUAUUGCACAAUGGGGGAAACCCUGAUGCAGCGACGCCGCGUGGAGGAAGAAGGUCUUCGGAUUGUAAACUCCUGUCGUUAGGGACGAUAAUGACGGUACCUAACAAGAAAGCACCGGCUAACUACGUG
rnacentral:rRNA from 1 species